GGUAAAUUCAUCAGGAUUCACUUCCAAGGUAGCAAACUGGCUAAAGCUGACAUUGAGACCUACCUGCUAGAGAAGUCCAGAGUGUCCUUCCAGCUUCCCGAUGAGAGAGGUUACCACAUCUUCUUCCAGAUGAUGACCAAUCACAAACCUGACAUUAUUGAAAUGUCACUCAUCACCACCAACCCCUACGACUUCCCCAUGUGCAGUCAGGGUCAGAUCACUGUGGCCAGCAUCAACGACAAGGAAGAGCUGGAUGCCACAGACGAUGCCAUUACAAUCCUGGGCUUCAC